GCUGGAUUUCAUUCACCUGUCCCUGCCAAUGUGCUCAGAUUUGCUUGAUAGGCUGCACUGAAUUUCUCAACCACAUCAGUAUAGAUUCCCUGUCUCUGAGGGAGUGACAAGCGCUCCUAUGGCUGAGUUGCUAUGAUCAAUGGCUUGGCUUGAUUUCCAUUGUUUGAUGGUGAUCAUACUUCUUUUGCCGGAAGAGAGGUAUUCAGAGAACCCGAUUUCCUGCUUGGUAGGCGGCAUGAGCUGAGGGCAAGUGCAUUGAAAAUGUAAUGCAUGGCUGCUUGAGAAGACUGCGGACCUGCGCUUGAAGAUUCAAGAUGAAUUGAUGUAGAGGAGCCAUCUGCUUCUCUGGGAUUAUCUGGUUCACCUCAUUUUGCGCAUCAGCUGUGACAGCCGAGAGGCAUGGUUGAUGCAAAGCUCAGGGGAUAGAAGAGAGCUGCUAAUGCCCAUGUUGGAGAGCAGUGGAACUCUAUUAGUCCUCCGCUUGUGCCAAGCAAUGGCAAAGUUGAGGCCUCCGCUUGUGCCAAGCAAUGAGAAAGUUGAGGCUGAAAUGACAGACCUGGGAACUAACCAGAGUAUUAGAGAGCAACUGAAGAUUGGACAUAAGGCUAACUUCAAGUACACCCAGUCCCCAACUGCAAAAGCUCUGAAGCUGCAUUUUUUUAUCAGCCUGAACUAAAUCAGAUGGACAGACUGAGAGGGUAAAUCAGUGUCUAGAAACUUAUUUGUGUUGUUUUACGCAAUCUUGUCCAUCCAAAUGGGCCACUAGGUUGUAUUUGGCAGAAUAUUGGUACAAUACCGGUUAUCAUUCCACUUUGGGCAAAACUACUUUUGAUGUGCUCUAUGGACACACCCCACUACAGCUAGGUAUUGGUGUGGAUUCUUGUGAGAUACCUGAUCUUCAGCAGUGGUUUUCAAAUGAUGAUGUGCAUAGAGCUCAGCAGCUGUUACACUAACAUUUGCAUAGAGCUCAGCAGUAUAUAAAGGGGGUGAUAAGCUGUGCUCAAAUGUAGUUUAGUGCCCACCUUUUGCCUUUUGGAACAACUGUUCCCAGAAAUGACUGGUAAAUAUCUUGUCUCUAUCAGAAAUGAUGGCCAGGGGUAAUCCAUACAAUUUAAAAACACCUUCCAUAUACAGCUGGGCAACAUCUUGAGCAGAGAAAGGAUGAGCCAAGGCUAAAAUGUGAGCAUACCUAGACAACUUGUGCACUACCACCAUGAUGCAAUUAAAUCGUCUGGAUGUUGGAAGCCCUUUUAUGAAAUCUAUGGUCACUGUUUGACAAGCCCCUGAUGCCACAAGUAAAGGCUGAAACAGUCCAGGAUAUUUAUAUCAGUCAGGUUUAGCUUGCUGACAAAUGGAGUAGUUCUUAACCUGCUGUUUGAUAAAUCCCUUCAUUCCAGGCCAACCAAACAAUGCUUUCAUUCUUCUAUAUGUCACAGGAAGCAAAGAAAAUAACCCUGAGCAACCUCUUCCAACCAAGUGUCAAUGGUGUCUCCAUGAUCACACCUGGACAAAGCAUCCGCAAACCAUUAUGGAUCCUUUUUUUUAACAAAAUUUUAAUUUUAAACCCAACAACUUGGUGUAAGCUUUCUACUACCAACUAGUAUGUAAACGUUGGUCCGUAAGGUUCAUCAAACUUUUGUGAUCAGUAAGGAUAGUAAACUCUGCAUAUUGAAGAUAAUA